GUGACCUCAAAUCAGGUAGGACUACCCGCUGAACUUAAGCAUAUCAAUAAGCGGAGGAAAAGAAACUAACAAGGAUUCCCCUAGUAACUGCGAGUGAAGCGGGAAAAGCUCAAAUUUAAAAUCUGGCGGUCUUAUGGCUGUCCGAGUUGUAAUCUAGAGAAGUGUUAUCCGCGCUGGACCGUGUACAAGUCUCCUGGAAUGGAGCAUCAUAGAGGGUGAGAAUCCCGUCUUUGACAUGGACUGCCAGGGCUUUGUGAUGCGCUCUCAAAGAGUCGAGUUGUUUGGGAAUGCAGCUCAAAAUGGGUGGUAAAUUCCAUCUAAAGCUAAAUAUUGGCGAGAGACCGAUAGCGAACAAGUACCGUGAGGGAAAGAUGAAAAGAACUUUGGAAAGAGAGUUAAACAGUACGUGAAAUUGCUGAAAGGGAAACGCUUGAAGUCAGUCGCGUCAUCCAGGGAUCAACCUUGCUUUUGCUUGGUGCACUUCCUGGUUUGAUGGGUCAGCAUCAAUUUUGACUAUUGGAAAAAGGCUGAGGGAAUGUGGCAUCUUCGGAUGUGUUAUAGCCCUUGGUCGCAUACAAUGGUUGGGAUUGAGGAACUCAGCACGCCGCAAGGCCGGGUUUAAACCACGUACGUGCUAGGAUGC
rnacentral:rRNA from 1 species